rnacentral:rRNA from 1 species
ACACAUGCAAGCCGGGGGGCAUCAGGACCUAAGCUUGCUUUCUUUGCUGGCGACCGGCGCACGGGUGAGUAACACGUAUCCAACCUGCCCUUUACUCGGGGAUAGCCUUUCGAAAGAAAGAUUAAUACCCGAUAGCAUAAUGAUUCCGCAUGGUUUCAUUAUUAAAGGAUUCCGGUAAAGGAUGGGGAUGCGUUCCAUUAGGUUGUUGGUGGGGUAACGGCCCACCAAGCCUUCGAUGGAUAGGGGUUCUGAGAGGAAGGUCCCCCACAUUGGAACUGAGACACGGUCCAAACUCCUACGGGAGGCAGCAGUGAGGAAUAUUGGUCAAUGGGCGCUAGCCUGAACCAGCCAAGUAGCGUGAAGGAUGAAGGCUCUAUGGGUCGUAAACUUCUUUUAUAUAAGAAUAAAGUGCAGUAUGUGUACUGUUUUGUAUGUAUUAUAUGAAUAAGGAUCGGCUAACUCCGUGCCAGCAGCCGCGGUAAUACGGAGGAUCCGAGCGUUAUCCGGAUUUAUUGGGUUUAAAGGGAGCGUAGGUGGACUGGUAAGUCAGUUGUGAAAGUUUGCGGCUCAACCGUAAAAUUGCAGUUGAUACUGUCAGUCUUGAGUACAGUAGAGGUGGGCGGAAUUCGUGGUGUAGCGGUGAAAUGCUUAGAUAUCACGAAGAACUCCGAUUGCGAAGGCAGCUCACUGGACUGCAACUGACACUGAUGCUCGAAAGUGUGGGUAUCAAACAGGAUUAGAUACCCUGGUAGUCCACACAGUAAACGAUGAAUACUCGCUGUUUGCGAUAUACAGUAAGCGGCCAAGCGAAAGCAUUAAGUAUUCCACCUGGGGAGUACGCCGGCAACGGUGAAACUCAAAGGAAUUGACGGGGGCCCGCACAAGCGGAGGAACAUGUGGUUUAAUUCGAUGAUACGCGAGGAACCUUACCCGGGCUUAAAUUGCAGUGGAAUGAUGUGGAAACAUGUCAGUGAGCAAUCACCGCUGUGAAGGUGCUGCAUGGUUGUCGUCAGCUCGUGCCGUGAGGUGUCGGCUUAAGUGCCAUAACGAGCGCAACCCUUAUCUUUAGUUACUAACAGGUCAUGCUGAGGACUCUAGAGAGACUGCCGUCGUAAGAUGUGAGGAAGGUGGGGAUGACGUCAAAUCAGCACGGCCCUUACGUCCGGGGCUACACACGUGUUACAAUGGGGGGUACAGAAGGCAGCUAGCGGGUGACCGUAUGCUAAUCCCAAAAGCCUCUCUCAGUUCGGAUCGAAGUCUGCAACCCGACUUCGUGAAGCUGGAUUCGCUAGUAAUCGCGCAUCAGCCACGGCGCGGUGAAUACGUUCCCGGGCCUUGUACACACCGCCCGUCAAGCCAUGGGAGCCGGGGGUACCUGAAGUACGUAACCGCAAGGAUCGUCCUAGGGUAAAACUGGUGACUGGGGCUAAGAC